rnacentral:rRNA from 1 species
UGGGGAAUCUUGGACAAUGGGCGCAAGCCUGAUCCAGCCAUGCCGCGUGAGUGACGAAGGUCUUCGGAUUGUAAAGCUCUUUUUGGCGGGGACGAUAAUGACGGUACCCGCAGAAUAAGCCCCGGCUAACUUCGUGCCAGCAGCCGCGGUAAUACGAAGGGGGCUAGCGUUGUUCGGAAUUACUGGGCGUAAAGCGCACGUAGGCGGAUCUAUAAGUCAGGGGUGAAAUCCCGGGGCUCAACCUCGGAACUGCCCUUGAUACUGCAAAUCUAGAGUCCGGAAGAGGUUAGUGGAAUCCCCAGUGUAGAGGUGAAAUUCGUAGAUAUUGGGAAGAACACCAGUGGCGAAGGCGGCUAACUGGUCCGGUACUGACGCUGAGGUGCGAAAGCGUGGGGAGCAAACAGGAUUAGAUACCCUCGUAGUCCCUGAGCGGGCUGGCAAGGCGCAU